rnacentral:rRNA from 1 species
CAUACGCGUUCAGAGUUUGAUCCUGGCUCAGGAUGAACGCUGACAGAAUGCUUAACACAUGCAAGUCGAACGGAGUGAACAAAACGGAAGUUUUCGGGUGGAAGAUUUGUUGACUUAGUGGCGGACGGGUGAGUAACGCGUGGGUAACCUGCCGUAUACAGGGGGAUAACACUUAGAAAUAGGUGCUAAUACCGCAUAAGCGCACAGUGUCGCAUGACACGGUGUGAAAAGCCUAGACGGUAUACGAUGGACCCGCGUCUGAUUAGCUAGUUGGUGAGGUAGAGGCUCACCAAGGCGACGAUCAGUAGCCGGCCUGAGAGGGUGACCGGCCACAUUGGGACUGAGACACGGCCCAA